UACAGGGGGUGCAAACGUUGCUCGGAAUUAUUGGGCGUAAAGCGCGCGUAGGCGGCCACUUAAGUCGGAUGUGAAAGCCCCUGGCUCAACUGGGGAAGUGCACCCGAAACUGAAUGGCUUGAGUGCGAAAGAGGGUCGCGGAAUUCCCGGUGUAGAGGUGAAAUUCGUAGAUAUCGGGAGGAACACCGGUGGCGAAGGCGGCGACCUGGGUCGACACUGACGCUGAGGAGCGAAAGCGUGGGGAGCGAACAGG
rnacentral:rRNA from 1 species